rnacentral:rRNA from 1 species
AUGCGGGGAGACCUUUAUUCCAUCUUCAGAAAGCCGCUGCCAUCUCACCUUCCUGAGUAUGACACAAACCCUAACAAGACAGAAAAAAACGACCGAAAACGAAGCCCUUCCGCCGACCCUUGGCAGGAUCCACCACGUCCCCAUGGACUUAGGGCCACCAGAGACGAGGCGGACCUGCGGCGGCGCCGGCGAGUGGCAGAAACUCUAGCUUUCUUUUUUGGAGAAGAAGGAGCGACUUGGCAGUUGUGGGGGGCGGGGGGGGUGCUAUCGGAUCUGAGCCUGAUUGGAGGAUGCGAGGUGAGGAGAGAAGUGGAAACUGAUUGUAGGGAAAAAAUUAAGAGGGGAGGAGGUUGGAGUAGGAAAAGAGACGGGACCUCAGCAGAAUUUGGUGCUGUUCUGUCCUAG